AUCCACUCACACACACACACACACACACACCCAUUCACAUACACACAUUCACCACUAGACUAAAGGAAGCAUGGCAUGGCACUGAGGGAUUGUGGGAAACAAGAAGAGUGGCAGAAGGACCUGCAGCAAAUUCUAACCCAUAACUGCUGCAUUGGGGACUAUAGCCCCUGUUUAUGGGUCGCCCGCGCAACCUGCUGAGCUGCCGGGGCAUCCAUUUAUAUUCUAUUUUAGGCUCCAUGGGGUAAAAAGUUCCCCUGAAUAGAGAAAGCCAUGUCUGUAUGUACAAGUUAGCAACUGUAUUGCAUUAACAGACAAGCCAUUUUAAAGACAAAAUUAGACACCAACUAAAACUCAUUUCUGGCCACGAACAACAGGUUUCAUAAUGGGAUGAUGACAAAACCUCUGACUACAAGAAUAAAUAAAAUAGCAGAUUUAUCUGAAGCAAUGUUUCACCGGAAACAUGUCUGUUAAUAAACAGCAGAAAAUAAAUUCUAUCAGGAUUAUUUAACAACAGACAGCUAUCGGGAGUCUGUGUGUUAUGGUCAUAAACUUGACUUAUCUGUGGUGACCAUAGUGGUGGAUAAUAAAAUAGGAAAGCAGGCAGAGAAUGAGAAGUACAGCAACAGGAAUUAGCAGGACAAACAAAGUUAAGAUUAGAAUGGAAUCAAAUAAAUAGUGAUUAAACUGGUGUUUUCCCUCUAAAUCCUUAGAGGACAUCUUGUGUGAGAUAUCCUCUUACAAUGUGUAUGUAGAAGAAGCAUUGACGUAUCAAUUUCCAAAUUACAUAGCAGUUUUUGCUACGGGGAAAUCCCAGAGGACAGAACAAUUAAAACAGAGAGUACAAUAGAGAGGCAUGUGUGACACUAUAAAAGAACAAGAGGGAUGGUAAGGCGAGAAGGGAGUAAAAUAUGGAAGAAAAAUUGAAAAGCAAUGGGAAUAAGACGAGCAAGUAGAAAGGAGGAAGUGUAGGUGGAGCUGAGAGAGCAGAGACAAAGCAUUUACAAUAAUAGCCUUUGGAAUACUUACAGAAACUCAUAAUGACUCCCAAACCAUCGGCUGUUUCUCCAGACCCACUUUCUAAAGUUGCAGUCCUACUUACAUCUUGAAGCUAUUACUGACAUCCUGAAGUUCUGUCCUCUGGCCCAUCUGAUGAAAGGCAGUUGUCAUGCAGUCUUUUCCCGAUGGCCACUGGCCAGUGACCUCCAGUUCAGGUCACAGACUUUAAACCUCCAGGAAAAGGCUGGAUGACAACUGUAAAUGGUGUGGUGAUGAUUGAAGAGACAGUGGAAGACUCAGAGAUGGAGGGUUCGGAACCCAAGCUGCAGCUCUCAAGAGGAUGCUCAGGUCAGAGUGUCAGAAAAACUGGUUGACAAAAAACAUCUGUCACCUGGUAAAAAAAACACUUAAGUGAUAAACCUCAGUUAUAAACACACCCUAUAAAACAACAACAACAACCAGAUCAGUAAAGAUUGAUAAUAGAACAUUACUGAACUUCUGUACUGGAGCAGGCAUCAUCCCUCAGCUAUUUGUCUUUUGAGAUGUUGAUUUAAGCUUUGUGGUAGUUUUCUGCAGUGGAAAUCACUACAAAGAAGACAUGGCGUCACUUACAAAAUAAAUUAAAUGAAAAAGUGCACAGAAAUGUUGUUGUUGCAGUGAACAAGUCAAACAUUUUUUGUACAAGGUGAUGUAUUUCCAGUUUUAUACAAUAAAAUAAUGAUAAUUACAAUAAUAAUAUUUAACAAUACCCUAGGGGUGCUCUAGGGGUGCCCGAGAGGGGGAGAUAAAGAGUACCCUGAAUGGGCUGAUACAUUGGUAACAAACCAAGCUAAUGAGUAACUUACUACCAGUGUAAGGUCUGCAAGAGAAGAAGAUCUAACAAUCUAUGAGAACAAGUUAAGCUACUUGAAGAAGGAACAAGUGGUGCAAUACAUAGUACCAGUCCCUGAUACAAAACAUCUGAGCACCAAGAACUACAGCCCAAAGUAGCCUUGUUGCCAACAAAUAUUCAGUAUGGCAACAAUUUGACAAAGAUGUGGAUGUGGCCGUUGAGGCAACAGCAAGAAUGGUAGGUAUAAGCAAGUGGAGGGCCUGGACCAAGUGGGAAGAUACAGCCAGCUAACAGAUCACCAGGGCAGAACUCUGGAGGGCAGAACCACACCAAUUCAAGUUCUUGUUCUAGCCAUGUAUGAUUCUCUUCCUUUCCAAUUUGCUGAGCUGGGGCCUGGUGGAUUCACCAACUCUGCUAGAAAAGGGAAUUGUUGGAAGAUAUACUCAGCCGACGUCUGAAGGGCUUGGGGGAGUAAUAUCGUUGACACUGUGGACAAGUCCGACAGGCAGAAGCAGACAACAUCUGAACCCUCAACACCAGUGUAUAUAGAUGGAGAUGGCAAGAGAUUGGCAGCUCCUGGUCAACUUAAGGAAACAAACAAAGAAACAAUAGCUGCCACACAGACCAGAAAUGGUCCUGAUGUACAUGGCAAAAAAACCAAGAAGUUUUGCCAUAGGUAACGGUCUCCUUGGCAGGAACAGAUGAAUGAGGCACAAGAAAGGAAGAGACCCAGGUAUGUAGCUCUGGUACCUGAAUGCCUAAUGAACCUGCUGUGAGCAACCUGUAGAGAGCUGUAAGGGGCUUCCAAUGCUAGUCUCUACACUGGGAUCUGGGACACUUGGAGGUUUAUGGGCUACAAAGAAGAAGAGCCAUUUAGAGUAUCUUGGAAGCUGCUAAAAAGGCUUUCUAUUGGUCUUAGUUGAAGAAAUAUGACACACAGCAUAAUGCGCCUCCUGGUCACAAGUCACAGCUUGAUCAUUCCCAGCUAGAUCACCAGAGUGAGGACCUGAUCACUCCAGAUUCAUCACUAAAGAAGUGACCAGGUUGCAGCACAAAGUGUAUCAAAGAACUGACAUGUGCCAUAAUGUGAGAAAAGGAUUGAAGCAGUUACAAUGUCUGCACUUCACUGGCUUCUGGCUGGUAUGAAAGGCUAUUGUACAGCUACACAUCUCCAUCCAGACAAAAGUAUUUCUAAAAGACCACACAUCAUCAGACAUGCAUGUACUUGGAACUUCUCAGAAAAUUUGGUGGUGACCUUUCUAACAGACCUGCAGUCAGAUCUUGCGGUCUACUGUAUGCCAUCUCUCAUGUCGAAUGUACCAUUCUGUGAAAGCAACUCAUGCUAAUCCCAUUACACUAAUUUAAUUACUCUAAUUUCAUUUCAUCAUUCCAGCUCUCCAGAUUAAUAAGGCAUGUCGGAUCUUUUGUCACUCCAUGUAAGGCCAAGUGGAAUAGGCUGUGCAGGAAGUGAGGUCAACAGAUCAAACAAACAAGGUAAAGAAAAGGUAGAAGCAAGUUAGAGAGAGCUGAGACGGGAUUGUGGUGCAGAAACAUGAUACGAAAAUAUUACAUGUUGUGUUGCUUGAUUACAGAAAAUACAUGUAGCAUCUGGUUUACUUCUUGAUACCAUGAUAUUAUACUACUACUGUAACACUAACAGCUUUUCAGCAGCAACAUAAAUGUUCUUAUAUUCAGCAACAAACCCUGUAAGGGUCUGGUCAUAAUAUGAUUUAAAAAAAUCUUCAUAAACCAGACAACAGAAGUGGUUUUUCUGUCAGUACACUUUAUUUCUCAAGAUAUUCAGUGUACGGUAUGAACUUGCUUCUUGAGUUUUGGUGAACAGAAGAACAUCAGGACAACGCAUGACAAACUACACCCAGGCCAGUGAUACUAACACAAUGCAGGACUCAAAGCAAGUUGAGCCAGAGCCACUGAUUGAGCAACUGGCUGUUUCUGCCAUAAUGGCCCCACUGUUUAUACUGAUUUCGUGAGAAGCUGUGUGCACUUAUUUAGCUGGAAUAAACAAAAUUACUUUGGCGCACUUGAAAAAU